GGGUGCCAACAGCAACUGCAGCUCUGGCCCAAGCCAGGUGUGGGCUGACCUAGCCAGGGAGCGGGGAAGUGAAAGGAAUGGGUCCCUUCCCACUCAGAGGGCGGAGCCCCCACUUCUGGUGAGAGAAAGCUGAGCAGAAUGGAUCUAAUCUGAUUCCUCCACCCAGAAGCCCUUAAAAUGCAGCUUUGUUUUAAGCCUUCUUGAAGAUUUGGGCUAGAUCUAGAAAAGAACCUCACCACGGAGGAUGUGCAAAGUACAACACGUGACCCCGGAGACGGAAGCUCUUCUCUACCUCCGUAAAGAUGAUCUCUGAUGAACAGACAUGAUCAUGCCUGGAGAACAGGGAUGGACAGUCCCGCUUCUGAAAGACCCUGUCUGGCUGAUGAUUCAUGGUGCGCCGGGCAGACCCCAGGCCAAGAGACCCCACCCACAGUACCUGAGUGCUCAGCUGGGAACCAGACCAGACCUCAAAACAGGUUUGCAGAAUUAAGAUGAGGAGCUGAGCUCAACACAGCCUCCGCAGCUCCCCAGGGCGGGCCUGAGCCGAGGGAGAGCCCAUGGCCAUCAGGGUGCUGGAAUGCAUGUCACACUGCAUUACGUGCAUUACGAUCCACGCUGCAAUGACAGCCCAGAGCGUGGAGAACCCAGAGAGGGUGGGGAGAUGGAAUCCCGGCGAGCCAGCGCUGGCAGGGACCACGGGGAGCAGCUGGUCCAGCCGCCGGUUUUCCAAGAGAGAAGACUAAGAAGUUCCCAAGGUUACCACCCAACCCUGCCAACUUUCGCACCCCGCAAGGAGCAAGACCCCGCCCGCUCACCACCUGCCUGUGCAGCCAACGGGCCUCGCUGAGCUGCCCUGGGCCGCUCCCUCCAUUCACACAGUUGGCCCUCCCUCUCCCUGCCUCCCUUCGCCUACCCCACGAACUACUUCAUCCCUCUGGGCCGGCACUGUAGAAGCCCCAUUGUUCACAUCGACCUCCCAAUUAUCUCCUCUUUCCCUCUCCCUCUGCUCCUGCCCAGACCAGCCCCCCAGCAUUGACCUGGAUGCCUGCCACAGCCUCCUCCCUGGUCUCCGGCCUCCCACCUCUGCUCCUCGGUCUCCUCUACCCAGCCAGUAACUGCAGAGAGCACUAAAGCACAGUCCUGGCAUCUCACCCCCUUAACCCUGGCCACGGCUUCCCAGUGCCUCCAAGAUAAAGCACCAACACCUGAGGACAGCAGCUUGUUUUGAGAGUCCCCUCCAUUGAAACACGCACAUCUAAUUUGUCCUUCAGUUCGCUGGACUCCACGCUGAACGUGCCAUGCUCCAUUGCCCCGUGAGUAACUCCAUGCUCUUGCCGGUUUCACACGGCCUCUCAGAGCUGGAGCCUUUGUUCAGGAGCCCUGGGCAGCUUUCAGGAAGCUCUUGGGCUCAUCAGCUUCCUCUGGCUGAAGCCGCCCCAGUGGAAUCAUGGGGAUUUCUUACUUUGAAGGUGGGGCCACCCGCAGACUGUAACCGGCUGGUUCAAGAUCAAGGACUUCCCCAGGCCACCUGCCUCAGAGGCAAGAAAGGCUCAGCUGAGUCCCAGACACUCCUCGCUGUGGCCCCUCCUUCCUCCCUGCUGGGCAGGCCCCCCUCAAUUCUGUUUGCCAGCAGGGCCUAGUAACACUGAAAGACGAAAAGGGAAAUAAAAUAAACACAAUUAAUAGGCUAAAGGUUACUGAAUAAAGUGGCAGCAGUAAAUAAA
ensembl:lncRNA LINC00885 long intergenic non-protein coding RNA 885